rnacentral:tRNA from 2 species
GGUCUGUUAGCUCAGUUGGUUAGAGCGUCGUACUAAUAAUGCGAAGGUCAUGAGUUCGACCCUCAUACGGACCA